rnacentral:rRNA from 1 species
GAUGAACGCUGGCGGCGUGCCUAAUACAUGCAAGUCGAGCGAACAGACGAGGAGCUUGCUCCUUUGACGUUAGCGGCGGACGGGUGAGUAACACGUGGAUAACCUACCUAUAAGACUGGGAUAACUUCGGGAAACCGGAGCUAAUACCGGAUAACAUGUUGAACCGCAUGGUUCAACAGUGAAAGACGGUCUUGCUGUCACUUAUAGAUGGAUCCGCGCCGCAUUAGCUAGUUGGUAAGGUAACGGCUUACCAAGGCAACGAUGCGUAGCCGACCUGAGAGGGUGAUCGGCCACCCUGGAACUGAGACACGGUCCAGACUCCUACGGGAGGCAGCAGUAGGGAAUCUUCCGCAAUGGGCGAAAGCCUGACGGAGCAACGCCGCGUGAGUGAAGAAGGUCUUCGGAUCGUAAAACUCUGUUAUUAGGGAAGAACAAAUGUGUAAGUAACUAUGCACGUCUUGACGGUACCUAAUCAGAAAGCCACGGCUAACUACGUG